UACGUAGGGUGCAAGCGUUGUCCGGAAUUAUUGGGCGUAAAGAGCUCGUAGGCGGUCCGUCACGUCGGCUGUGAAAACCUGGGGCUCAACCCCGGGCCUGCAGCCGAUACGGGCGGACUAGAAUUCGGUAGGGGGGACUGGAAUUCCUGGUGUAGCGGUGAAAUGCGCAGAUAUCAGGAAGAACACCCGUGGCGAAGGCGGCUCUCUGGAACGCAACUGACGCUGAGACGCGAAAGCGUGGGGAGCAAACAGG
rnacentral:rRNA from 1 species